rnacentral:rRNA from 1 species
GACGAACGCUGGCGGCGUGCUUAACACAUGCAAGUCGAACGGAAAGGCCCUGCUUUUGUGGGGUGCUCGAGUGGCGAACGGGUGAGUAACACGUGAGUAACCUGCCCUUGACUUUGGGAUAACUUCAGGAAACUGGGGCUAAUACCGGAUAGGAGCUCCUGCUGCAUGGUGGGGGUUGGAAAGUUUCGGCGGUUGGGGAUGGACUCGCGGCUUAUCAGCUUGUUGGUGGGGUAGUGGCUUAUCAAGGCUUUGACGGGUAGCCGGCCUGAGAGGGUGACCGGCCACAUUGGGACUGAGAUACGGCCCAGACUCCUACGGGAGGCAGCAGUGGGGAAUAUUGCACAAUGGGCGGAAGCCUGAUGCAGCAACGCCGCGUGCGGGAUGACGGCCUUCGGGUUGUGAACCGCUUUCGCCUGUGACGAAGCGUGAGUGACGGUAAUGGGUAAAGAAGCACCGGCUAACUACGUG